rfam:Operophtera brumata OBRT01_Sc12870, whole genome shotgun sequence.
UGAUCUAUGGCCGAACUGGUAAAGGCAUUGCCGAUCACAGGCAAGGUUGCGAGUUCGAGUCCCGCUGGAAUGG